AACAUACCAGACCACAGAUUAAGCGGAGCGUGACUAAAACGGAUAUGUUUUGUUAAAGAACGCGAGCUGAAAUCUGGUGUCUGUCGUCUGGCGUCUGAGUUUAGUGGCGGACGGGUGAGUAACGCGUGAGUCAACCUGCCUUUCAGAGGGGGAUAACGUUUGGAAACAGACGCUAAUACCGCAUGACAUACAGACAUCGCCUGGUGACUGUAUCAAAGGAGCAAUCCGCUGAAAGAUGGGCUCGCGUCCGAUUAGAUAGUUGGCGGGGUAACGGCCCACCAAGUCGACGAUCGGUAGCCGGACUGAGAGGUUGAACGGCCACAUUGGGACUGAGACACGGCCCAGACUCCUACGGGAGGCAGCAGUGGGGGAUAUUGCACAAUGGGCGAAAGCCUGAUGCAGCAACGCCGCGUGAGGGAAGACGGUUUUCGGAUUGUAAACCUCUGUCCUUGGUGAAGAACAAAUGACGGUAGCCGAGGAGGAAGCCACGGCUAACUACGUG
rnacentral:rRNA from 1 species